UGAUCUGUGUCUAACGUAGGAACUGUUUCAUGGCCCGUUGUCUUAGUCAGAUUGGCUGCCAGAACAAAACACCACAGGCCUGGUGGCUUCAACAAUGGAAACGUGUUUUCCUGCCACAGCUCCGGAGGCUGAACGCCCGACACCCAGGAUACGAGGAGUUACUCAUUAAUUCUGACAAAAAGAAAGAUGAGUCAGUGGAAAGAGGUGAGAACUGGAGCUGUCUGCACUCUUGUGACUUCACUGCUGGAGGCUCUGGCCUCUUCCCUGGCUCAGCCUGCGCCCAUGGACUCUACAAGGCGAAGACAGCCUCCAGCAUUCAAAGAUCAUGAUUUCUCAUCAGGCCUAGCAGUGCCUUUGGGGCAAAUCUGGCUCACAGUUUGCUGGACCCUCACAGCAUUAAAAAGGGCCAACCACAUCUUGGACUACAUUCUGAGCCAUGUGCCCAAGCCAUCCAAAAUUCCGAGCUCCAUUUGACAUGCUUUCCGGUAAGCAUUGCUAACGGGCGGCAGCUCCGCUGAGGUGCUGCUGUCCACCGCACAGCUGCCUAAGGCUGCAGGGUCGCUGCUCGGGCGCGUGGUCAAUGACACGUGCUCGCGUCAAUGACGAGCUUGGGAAUUUCCCUCGAAGGUCGACGCCUUGCUUUGGGUGAUCUGCAGUCUCCAGACCCAGCUGGCCCCAGCAUGGAUGCUGAGCAGAUGGACGUUGAAGGCAGUGUACGAGGGCCGUCGGAUUUGGGGAACAGUCGCUGUACACAGGUGAAAGCCCCAUUUCAUGUUGCCUGAUGUCCGCUGGUUCCAGGAGUACUCAGAAUAACAGCCUGUUUGGUGUUUAUUCUCUCUGAGCAUUAGUAUUUUCACUUAUCUAUUCUGUCCAGUGUGUUUUGAGAUUUGACUUAAUCAAAACCCUAACAGACCAAAUUGCGUUUUUCACAUGGUAAAGGACCACACACUCUCUAAGAAGAAUCAGUUUACUGUGGAUUUUAUCCAAUAUUACAAAGUUCUGUUGUCCAGAAGUACAGUUUUGAAGGAUGAGAUUAGGUUUAUUAAUGCUGUUUGGCUGAGAUCUCACUCAGUGAGCAGGCUUUCACAGUUUUUUAGACCAAGUAAGUUUUAUUAGGCCAAAUUAUUUUUAGGUAUAUCUAUGGACUCUUUCCAAUUUGUUCUAUGUUCUAAAAUCUCAGAGCUCUGAAAUUUUGUUUUGUUUUCCUUUUUUAAAAAUUCUGUCUGUCUCUGUGAUGUUAUUCAAAGUAAAAAUGCAUUUGUGUUCUGCCUGUGUCUGUGGACAGUGGACACUGAGGACAUGCCUAGCGUUCGGUGCAGGUACAGAAGGGACACUCCCUGCAUGGCUCCCUCCUCUUCUACAAUGCUGCCACCUCGGGCUCCAGGAGGAAUGUCUGGGCACAGCCUGUGGCACCAGCUGGGCUGAAGGAUCGAUGCCCUCGGUGGGCAAUGCCAUCUGCACAUGGAGUAGCAGAGAAACAUUUUCCUGGGGGACAAAGGACAUUGCAUCUCCAGCACUCCCUCCCUCAGGACCCCCUCCCACCUCGCUGACACCCUUGAUUCGGAAUUGAAGAAGUGUCAGCCCAGAGCCCCAUGGCUCAAACCUCAGGUUGUCAGCACCUACACAUCCAUGAUACAUUUUUUUAAGUUCCAAACUAGGGUAUGUUCAGGGCUGAAGUGCAACAUGCAAACGUCUGCAUAUCACAUUACCAACCCUUGAGCCAUGAACUCCCCAAGAAAAAGUUGUUUUUCUAAAGAGACUGGCUUGUUUUCAAGCUCAUGAAAACCAGCCAGAGGGCUCAGGCUAAGUUUAGACAACUAAAAAUAAAGUGAAAACUUGGUUUUUAAAAUUAUUAUUUUAAAAGCAACUUUUGAAAUGUACUUAUAUAGUGGUGCAAAAUCAGAUUAAUAGAAUUUCAU